rnacentral:rRNA from 1 species
GAUGAACGCUGGCGGCGUGCCUAAUACAUGCAAGUCGAGCGAACAGACGAGGAGCUUGCUCCUCUGACGUUAGCGGCGGACGUGUGAGUAACACGUGGAUAACCUACCUAUAAGACUGGGAUAACUUCGGGAAACCGGAGCUAAUACCGGAUAAUAUAUUGAACCGCAUGGUUCAAUAGUGAAAGACGGUUUUGCUGUCACUUAUAGAUGGAUCCGCGCCGCAUUAGCUAGUUGGUAAGGUAACGGCUUACCAAUGCAACGAUGCGUAGCCGACCUGAGAGGGUGAUCGGCCACACUGGAACUGAGACACGGUCCAGACUCCUACGGGAGGCAGCAGUAGGGAAUCUUGCGCAAUGGGCGAAAGCUUGACGGAGCAACGCCGCGUGAGUGAUGAAGGUCUUCGGAUCGUAAAACUCUGUUAUUAGGGAAGAACAAAUGUGUAAGUAACUAUGCACGUCUUGACGGUACCUAAUCAGAAAGCCACGGCUAACUACGUG